rnacentral:rRNA from 1 species
UACGUAGGGUGCAGGCGUUAAUCGGAAUUACUGGGCGUAAAGCGUGCGCAGGCGGUUUCUUACGUCAGAUGUGAAAGCCCCGGGCUUAACCUGGGAACUGCGUUUGAAACUGGGAGACUUGAGUGUGGCAGAGGGGGGUGGAAUUCCACGUGUAGCAGUGAAAUGCGUUGAUAUGUGGAGGAACACCGAUGGCGAAGGCAGCCCCCUGGGUUAACACUGACGCUCAUGCACGAAAGCGUGGGGAGCAAACAGG